GUGCACCAGGCGCGAAUUUUUCACAAUGGGGGAAACCCUGAUGGAGCGACGCCGCGUGGAGGAUGAAGGCGUUUUCGUCGUAAACUCCUGUCAAACGGGAACAAGAAAGUGAUAGUACCGUUAGAGGAAGAGGCGGCUAACUCUGUGCCAGCAGCCGCGGUAAUACAGAGGCCUCAAGCGUUGUUCGGAUUCAUUGGGCGUAAAGGGUGCGUAGGUGGCUUGGUAAGUUGAAGGUGAAAUCUCGGGGCUUAACUCCGAAACUGCCUUCAAUACUGCCGAGCUCGAGGAUUGUAGAGGAGAAUGGAAUUCACGGUGUAGCAGUGAAAUGCGUAGAUAUCGUGAGGAAGACCAGUGGCGAAGGCGAUUCUCUGGGCAAUUCCUGACACUGAGGCACGAAGGCUAGGGGAGCAAACGGGAUUAGAUACCCGGGUAGU
rnacentral:rRNA from 1 species